GUCUACGGCCAUACCACCAUGAACACGCCUGACCUUGGACGAUGUCAGUAGCUAGGCAGGGUCAGGGUGGUUGGUAUUUGGAUGGGAGACAAACAGUGCUAUGGGGA
rnacentral:rRNA from 1 species